AUUGAACGCUGGCGGCAGGCUUAACACACGCAAGUCGAGCGGGGUGAUGGUGCUUGCACUAUCACUUAGCGGCGGACGGGUGAGUAAUGCUUAGGAAUCUGCCUAUUAGUGGGGGACAACAUCUCGAUAGGGAUGCUAAUACCGCAUACGUCCUACGGGAGAAAGCAGGGGAUCACUUGUGACCUUGCGCUAAUAGAUGAGCCUAAGUCGGAUUAGCUAGUUGGUGGGGUAAAGGCCUACCAAGGCGACGAUCUGUAGCGGGUCUGAGAGGAUGAUCCGCCCAACUGGGACUGGAACACGGCCCAGACUCCUACGGGAGGCAGCAGUGGGGAAUAUUGGACAAUGGGGGGAACCCUGAUCCAGCCAUGCCGCGUGUGUGAAGAAGGCCUUAUGGUUGUAAAGCACUUUAAGCGAGGAGGAGGCUCUUUUGGUUAAUACCCAAGAUGAGUGGACGUUACUCGCAGAAUAAGCACCGGCUAACUCUGUGCCAGCCGCCGCCGUAA
rnacentral:rRNA from 1 species